rnacentral:rRNA from 1 species
GAUAAACGCUAGCGGCAGGCCUAACACAUGCAAGUCGAGGGGCAGCAUAAAAGUAGUUUACUACUUUAGAUGGCGACCGGCGCACGGGUGCGUAACGCGUAUGCAACCUACCUUUAACAGGGGGAUAAUUCGGAGAAAUCUGGUCUAAUACCCCAUAAUAAUUUAUAAGGCAUCUUAUGGAUUUGAAAACUCCGGUGGUUAAAGAUGGGCAUGCGUUGUAUUAGCCAGUUGGUGAGGUAACGGCUCACCAAAGCUACGAUACAUAGGGGGACUGAGAGGUUUUCCCCCCACCCUGGUACUGAGACGCGGACCAGACUCCUACGGGAGGCAGCAGUGAGGAAUAUUGGUCAAUGGACGCAAGUCUGAACCAGCCAUGCCGCGUGCAGGAAGACGGCUCUACGAGUUGUAAACUGCUUUUGUACGAGGGUAAACACAGAUACGAGUAUCUGUCUGAAAGUACCGUACGAAUAAGGAUCGGCUAACUCCGUGCCAGCCGCCGCCGUAACAC